UGUAAUACCCGGCUAGACUCCGGUAUCGGAAUUCCUACCGUCCGGUGGAAUUUGGGUGUCGGAAACCUCUAGAAGGGUAAAAGCAUGUUUUUAUAAAAUGUUUUCAUGUAUUUUAAUGUUUUAAGUAUGAUUUUAAAUAAGUUUUUGCAUGAAAAUUCUUUAAGGAAAAACCCAGGUUCGGCCGCCGAAACUCACUUUCGGCCGCCGAACAUGCAUGGACUUUGGGAGGCACGUUAGGCCCCCGAAAGUCUAAGUGAGGGAAGUGCAGGUUCGGCCGCCGAACCUCAUGUUCGGCCGCCGAACAUUGCAUGGAUGCGGAGGCACAUUCGGCCCCCGAACGUGGCCUGGCCAGCCACUAUAAAAGGGUCCCCUUGGUCCGCACGGGCGAGCUUUUUCUCUCCCAUUGUCGGCCAAGGUGAGUCUCCACCAUUCCUCCCUCGAUCUUGAGUGUUUCCUCUAGAUCUUUCAUGGUUUUAACAAGUUUAUAACUUUGUUUUGAAGAUUUGUGAGCUUUGAGCAAGUUUUGAGUGCUUGGAGAUUCAAAGAGCUUAAUCCCUCCAUCUCCAAGUUAGGAUCGCUUUCCUCUCGUUUCUUCAAGAGGUAAGGGUCGAUCUUGAACCCUUUUUAUGUUUUAAACAAGUUUUAAGUAAGAUCUAUGGGUAGAAAUGCAUGUUAGGACAUAUGUUGAGUUUAUGGGGUUUUGAUGAUGUUUGAGCAAUGUAGCUGGAUUGUGUGUGAAUGAAGUGUUGUAGAUGGGGUAUAUGCAUGUUUGAGACCCCUAGGAACUUGUAUGUGUGUUUUGGUUGAGAAAUAUGCAUGAUCUAUGGUUUUGGGAGGCAGGAGGUUCAUUUGAACCAAGUUUCUGCCGUUUGGCAGAAACCAGGUUCGGCAGCCGAAGGGAGUUUCGGCCGCCGAACCCCUCUUGUGAAGGCAGCUUUCGGCUGCCGAAGGUGCCCCCGAAAAGAGACUUUCGUCUCUGUCUGGCACUUUCGGCCGCCGAAGGUGCCGCCGAACCUAGCUGAGUUUCGUCUCUGUCCAGGACUUUCGGCCGCCGAAGGUGCCGCCGAAGGUGCCCUGUUCAGCCGUUUCAUGCAUAUUUUCUGUGAUGUUUUCAUGAUGUUUUAGGGGGUUUUUGGGGGAUGUAUUAGAAUUGUGUUUAUAUAUGUUUGGUCCCUCAUUGGAGUCCACCUGUGUAGGUUCGGACCCGAGGAACCGAGGACCCCAGCAGUGAGAGAGCUGCUUCAGUGUCUGGUCAGAGCUAACCAGAGGUGAGUGGAAACAAGCUUAAUGUUUUAAAUCAAGCAAUUAAAUGUUUUGAGCAUGUUUCAUGCAUCAUGAUGACAUGUAAUAGGCUGAUUGCAUUAGUUCACGAAUAUGUCGCAUUGCAUUUUAUUUUGUGGUUGUGGGUGAAAGCUGUAUGAUCCAAUUAGUCCACGAGACUUUAUGUAUGUUAUGACAGGAAGACCAGGACCCCAUGCUACGGCCUGGCACGAGGCUUUAUAUAUGAUAUGACAGGAAGACCAGGACCCCAUGCUACGGCCUGGCACGAGGCUUUAUAUAUGAUAUGACAGGAAGACCAGGACCCCAUGCUACGGCCNNN
rnacentral:lncRNA from 1 species